rnacentral:lncRNA from 1 species
UACCCGUAACUCAAUUCAUUAAUAAAUGAAGUGAUUAAAAGGUAAAUAAACAUAGGUCCUAAAAUAAGUAAUUAGAAAAUUUAAGCCAAGUAAUAAUUCCUAAGAGACCAUGCUAGAACCAUAGAAUCCGGGAAUACCUAACACCUUCUCCUAGGUUAAAAGAAUUCCUUAUCUAGAAUUUCUGGUUCGUAGACUUUUAAAUAAAGUCGAAAGUUUCCUCGAUUUGGGAUAUAAAAAUGAACUGGUGACUUGGGACACCAUAAUUAUCUCAACUGGCGACUCUAAAAUUAAUUAAAUAAUCACAUUUCGAAUAAUGUCACUUUAAUU